AUUUGAGUAUAUGUUUACAGUUUAAAUAAAGGCAACAGUAGUAUACCGCUGUUCAAAACUCAUAAAUCCAUGGACAAAAAACAAAAUCGGGGUAACAAACUAAAACCGAGGGAAACGCAUUAAAUAUAAGAGGAGAACAACGACACAACACCGAAACGCAACACACACAGAAACGGACCAAGCAACAGACAAAACACCACGAGAAUAACAAAUAUAACAUCAAAACCAAAUACAUGAAUUUGGGAUAGACAAGUACCGUGCCACGUCUUAUCUCAAAAAUAAGAGAAAACACAAACGACUCAACGUUAAAAUGCAACACACACAGAAACGAACAAUAUUAUAACAAUGGCCAUCUUCCUGACUUGGUACAGGACACUUUUAAAGGGGAAUAAAAGUGGUGGGUUGAACCUGGUUUUAUGGCAUGCCAAACCUCGCACUUUAAUGGCAAAGUUAAAUAUAACAUUGAAAUGACAACAUAAUAUUACAGGACUACAAUACAAAUAAAAAGGAGACCAUAUUAGACAAAGAAAAGCAUGAUUAAUAGAUAACAAAAAGCAUCAGGUUUAAAAUUCAAUACGCCAAAAACGCGUCUUGUCCACACAAGACUCAAUAGUGACGCCCAGAUAUAAAAGAUCGAAAGUGAAAAAAGUACAAAGUUGUACAGCACUGAAGAUCAAAAGUUGAAAAGGUUUUGCCAAAUACGGCAUUGUUUGUAUGCCCGGGAUAAGAACAUUCUUAUUAUAUAGAACAAUUCAUGCUAUUGCAAACAGUAAAUUUUAUCAAAUGAAUAUGAAAGAGAUAUAUACAUAAUGAAACUGAAGUAUUAACUAAUUACAGAAAACUAAACCCGAAUACAUAACGCCCAGAUAUAAAAGAUCGAAAGUGAAAAAAGUACAAAGUUGUACAGCACUGAAGAUCAAAAGUUGAAAAGGUUUUGCCAAAUACGGCAUUGUUUUUAUGCCCGGGAUAAGAACACUUUUAUAUAGAACGAUUCAUGCUAUUGCAAACAGUAAAUUUUAACAAAUGAAUGUGAAAGAUAUAUUCAUAAUGAAACUAAAGUAUUAACUUAUUACAGAAAACUAAACCCGAAUACAUGAUGCCAAGUUCAAUACAGCAUAGAC
rnacentral:lncRNA from 1 species